AUGAAGAGGUUUGUGACUGAGUGGCGGACGGGUGAGUAACGCGUGGGUAACCUGCCUCAUACAGGGGGAUAACAGUUAGAAAUGACUGCUAAUACCGCAUAAGCUCACAGAGCCACAUGGCUCAGAGAGAAAAACUCCGGUGGUACGAGAUGGACCCGCGUCUGAUUAGCUAGUUGGUGAGGUAACGGCUCACCAAAGCGACGAUCAGUAGCCGGCCUGAGAGGGUGAACGGCCACAUUGGGACUGAGACACGGCCCAAACUCC
rnacentral:rRNA from 1 species